AGCUCUUGUGGUUUCAACUGCUUGCAUCUGCAGUUUCUCAAUUCUGAGUUACUGGGACUCCCUCUGAGGCUCCAGGGCUCUCCCGUCUCCUCGUCUUCCCGCGCUGAGAGCUGGCGUGUGUGACGUUGUCUGGCAGAGCCCCUCUCAUGCUUCCUGGGAGGAGGGUUUGGGAGGGCCUGGGGGGUCGCCCAGUACCCUCGACAGAGCAAAAGCAGAACUGGGCACACAUCCGAGGGAAGCAUGCCUGAUGCCGUGAAGAAGAUGAAACAGAUAAGAAUAAAAGAGGAAAACCAAGUGGAAUUAACCUAAACAGCGUCGCUCCCGUGAUAUUUUGUAUAUAUAAAGCAAAAGGAAAAGGCUGUCUGGCCAAGACAGAAAAAUACUGUCUUGCUCUAACUAUUUAAAAAACCUGUAUUAGAGUAUAGCUGAUGCCCAAUGUUGUGUUAGUCUCAGGUGUACAGUAAAGUGAAUCAGCUAUGGAAGUGAGUUCCUCAGUCGUAUCCGACUCUUUGCAACUGUCUAGUCCAUGGGAUUCUCCAGGCCAGAAUGCUGGAGUGGGUAGCCUUUCCGUUCUCCAGGGGAUCUUCCCAACCCAGGGAUCGAACCCAGGUCCCCCGCACUUCGGGCGGAUUCUUUACCGGCUGAGCCACAAGGGAAGCCACACGUAUCCCCUCCUUUUCGAAUUUCCCGUCCACGCAGGCUGUUACAGACCGCCGAGGAGAGUUCCCUGUGCUGCUUCUCUGGGGGCAGGGAAGGAAUGAGGUCAGGCAGAGACACUGAAGACGCUCUCAGGGGGACUCCCCAGUGGUCCGGUGUCUGAGACACCGCACUGCCAGUGUGGAGGGCCUGGGCUCAAUCCCUGGUUGGGGAACUAGACCCCACAGGCCGCAACUCAGAGUUUGCAUGGCACAGCUAAAGAUCGUCCAUGCUGCAGCUCAAAACUAGGACCUGCUUGCCGCAACAAAGACGGAAGACUCCACAUGUCGCAACUAAGAUCCAGCGCAGCCAAUGAGAUGACGCGUUCAAAGUUGGAAAGCUUUGGGAGACUGAGUCUAACGAGAGCCGCCUGUUGGAAACGUCACGGUCCCCAAAUCCAGAGGGAGCCGUCUACCCAUUCCUCGAGCACCGCAGGGUGGAGACGCCACAGAGGGAGGCGGAGUAACUUCGUCAGGAUGAACCUCUCGAAACUGAAUUGCUGGGUGGAGAAGCUUGAAGCAGUGCAUCCCUCUGCGCAGGACGAGACGAGCCUCACGGGACUGCCCUGUGAAUCCCACACCCC
ensembl:lncRNA